rnacentral:rRNA from 1 species
AUUGAACGCUGGCGGCAUGCUUUACACAUGCAAGUCGAACGGUAACAUAAGAAAGCUUGCUUUCUUGAUGACGAGUGGCGAACGGGUGAGUAAUACAUCGGAACGUACCCUGUAGUGGGGGAUAACUACUCGAAAGAGUGGCUAAUACCGCAUACAACCUGAGGGUAAAAGUGGGGGACCGCAAGGCCUCACGCUACAGGAGCGGCCGAUGGAAGAUUAGGUAGUUGGUGGGGUAAAGGCCUACCAAGCCAACGAUCUUUAGCGGGUCUGAGAGGACGAUCCGCCACACUGGGACUGAGACACGGCCCAGACUCCUACGGGAGGCAGCAGUGGGGAAUUUUGGACAAUGGGCGAAAGCCUGAUCCAGCAAUGCCGCGUGAGUGAAGAAGGCCUUCGGGUUGUAAAGCUCUUUUGUUUGGGAAGAAAUCCUUAAGGCUAAUAUCCUUGGGGGAUGACGGUACCAAAAGAAUAAGCACCGGCUAACUACGUGCCAGCAGCCGCGGUAACAC